ACACGGCUAAGGGAGGUACAGUGGCCUUCGCGUUUAGGAGGCGGUGCGACCCCCAGGCUGGAGCCGGCCGUCUAGUGUUUUCCGAGCCGCUUGCUCAACCGGGGGACGUUGGACAAGUCGCUGCCCCUUUUUGAGCCUCAGCAAAUUGCCAGGCCUGCCUUCCAAGGCACCUCUGGGUGGACUCGAACCUCCAACCUUUUGGGCUAGCUUCUGAGCGCUUAUCCGUUUGCACCAACCAGAGACUCCUGGGUUGGAGAGGAUCUCACCAUCACCAAGAAGGAAGAGCCAGGAGUGAGGCGGGUCCUUUGGAUAGAUUCAGAAUCCCUGCGCUGAGAAACUCCCGGAACCAGGAGACCAAGAAAGAGCUGAAACGGCAAAGGUGGGAAGAUGCAACUGCGUGUUGGGCUUCCCAGGACUACAGAGUGAGAAAGCUGAGUGCCUUGGAGCAGGAGAUGCCUCCAGGCGCUUGGUGGAACUAGGUUUGCCCACCCAUAGAGCUAGAGCUGAGCUCCUUCCGGCCGAUCCGGCCGUGGCUUAUUGGCAGAGUUGAGUGCCUCCGGCAGAGCUAAAAGGGCUGUGUAACACUUGCCCCACAGGGCAGAGGCCAAGGGACCAGAGAGAGGUGUGCCUGCUGGCAUGGCUGAGAAGCUGUCCUGGCGGAAGACCUGUAUCCCAAGCAUUCGUGACCCUGAAUCAUAACUUCCCUAAUAAACCCAUAAUCGUGAGUAUUGUCUGUGAGUUCUGUGUGGUCGUUGAAAUGAAUGAUCCAACUCAGCAGAAAUGCUGAGAGAGUGACGUGGGGGGACGACUGGUAUGAGAACUGGUGACAAGGCUGGCAGCGGCUGGAGGACGUCUGACCUCCACCUCAUAGGAAUCAGCCUUGGGCUAUUGAUUCUCCUUCCCCCUUACGAAGUUAGAGGUCAGAUGCUGCCCCCACACCAUUUUUACAAUUAUGUCCUUCUCCAGGGACUGGUCCUUCCUGACAUGUCCAAAGUACAUAAGAGUAAGUCUCGCCAUCCUUGUUUGGUAGGAGGAUUCUGGCUGUACUUCUUCCAAGACAGAUUUGUUCAUUCUUCUGGUGGCUCAUGGUAUGUUCAAUAUUUUUUGCCGGUGCCAUAAUUCAAAGACAUCGGUUCUUCUUCCGUCUUCCUUAUUCGUUGUCCAGCUUUCACGUGCAUAUGAGGUGACUGAAAACACCAUGGCUUGGGUCAGGCCCACCUUAGUCCUCAAAAUGACAUCUUUGCUUUAUAAUGUUUCAAAGAGAUUUUCUGCAGAUUUGCCCAAUGCAAUAUGUCAUUUGAUUUCUUGACUGCUGCUUUCCUGGGCGUUGAUUGUGGAUCCAAGAACAUGCCGAGCCUGUUCUUCUCUUUUGGCUUUCUAACUCCAGGGCUUUGCACAUUUUAUUACAAUACUUUGUCUUCUCAAGCCGCCCUUUGAAAUCUUCUGUUCAGCUCUUUUACUUCAUCAUUUCUUCCAUUCGCUUUAGUUACUCGAUGUUCAAGAGCGAGUUUCAGAGUCUCUUCUGACAUCCAAUUUUGGUCUUUUCUUUCUCUUCUGUGUUUUUAAUGACCUCUUGCUUUCUUCGUGUAUGAUGUUCUUGGUGUCUUCCCACAACUCACCUACCUUCGAUCAUUAGCGGUCAGUGUAUCAAAUCUGUUGUUGAGAUGGUCUCUAAAUUCAGGUGAGAUAUACUCAAGGUCAUACUCUGGCUCUUGUGAACUUGUUUUAAUUUUCUUCAGCUUCAACUUGAACUUGAAAUUGAGCAAUUGAUGGUCUGUUCCACAGUCAGCCCCUGGCCUUGUUCUGACUGAUGAUAUUGAGCUUUUCUAUCAUCUCUUUCCACAGACAUAGUCGAUUUGAUUCCUAUGUGUUCCAUCUGGCAAGGUCCGCGUGUAUAGUUGCCAUUUAUGUUGUUUAAAAAAAGUAUUUCCAGUGAACAGGUUGUUCUUGCAAAAUCCUAUCAUGUGAUCUCUGACAUCCUUUCUAGCACCAAGGCCAUAUUUUCCAACUACUGAUAUUUGCCAAUUACUAAUCCAUCUCACUGCAUGUUUGAUCAAUUUCAGGGUGCACAAAUUGGUAAAAAUCUUCAGUUUCUUCAUCUUUGGCCUUAGUGGUUGGUGCAUAAAUUUGAAUAGUUGUGUUAACUGGUCUUCCUUGUAGGCAUAUGGAUAUUAUCCUAUCACUGACAGCGUUGUACUUCAGGAUAGAUCUUGAAAUGUUCUUUUUGACGAUGACUGCAACACCAUUCCUCUCCGAGUUGUCAUUCCCAGCAUAGUAGACUAUAUGAUUGUCCAAUUCGGAAUGGCCAAUACCAGUCCAUUUCAGCUCACUAAUGCCUAGAAUAUCGAUAUUUAGUGUUCCAUUUCAUUUUUGACGAUUUCCAAUUUUCCUAGAUUCAUACUUCGUACAUUCCAGGUCCCGAUUAUUAAUGACUGUUUGCAGCUGUUUCUUCUCAUUUUGAGUCGUGCCACAUCAGCAAAUGAAGGUCUCGAAAGCUUGACUCCAUCCACAUCGUUAAGGUCGACUCUACUUUGAGGAGACAGCUCUUCCCCAGUCAUCUUUUGAGUGCCUUCCAACCUGAGGGGCUCAUCUUCUGGCACUAUGUCAGACAAUGUUCUGCUGCUAUUAAGGUCUUCACUGGCCAAUUUUUUUAGAAGUAGGCUGCUGUGUCCUUCUUCCUAGUCUGGAAGCUCAGGUGAAACCUGUCCACCAUGGGUGACCCUGCUGCUAUUUGUAAUACCAGUGACAUAGCUUGCAGCAUGGAAGCAACGUGCGAGCCCCCACAGUAGGACAACUGACAGUGAUGGGACAAGUGGAACACUGUAUGACUGGGUUUGUAAGUGUAUAGAUGUAAUGUGUGUAACUGUAACAGCACAAAAAGGAGGGGAGGGAACAGCUGUCUAGGAGUAACAUUCUGUAGGAAGUUAGGAGUAGGGUGAUCCACAGGAACUAGGAAUUUACCGUAGGUCUGAAGCUGCUUUUGGUCAGUGCCUGCAGCAUGCUCGGUGGACACACAGACCAAGGGUCCCGGCCCUUCGCUUAGGUCAACCCCGUUUCUCAGCGCCUGCAGCCUGCUCAGUGGACACAAGAACCGAGGAGCCCCCCAGGCUUAGGUCACCCCAUUUUUCCCGUGUCUUCUUGCUAAAACCUGGAGUUGUACCGCGUGCCUCUGCCUCCCCUCUGCAAAAUCACUAUUUCAAACCCUCACUUCUUGGGGCACGCUCUCAGGCGGCCUUGGGGCUGAGGAAAUGGACCCAAACCACAUGGGCUUGAGAGACAGAGAUGUGGGGGCUGGGGAACCCACAAAGGGGCUUUACUGUCCAGCACAGCUGGAACUCAGGAGAGAAGCCCCCGUAGUG